CAGUUACCAAUGAGGCCAAAGCGAGCCAUGUGACUAGGGGUCAGCUGGAUCCUUGGGGUGUGGCUCCGCGAAUCGGUCAAUCAACAGACACAGGCAGACUCCAGCUUCUAACGCAGGUUCAGGGCAGCAGGGGAAGGAGACCUGACGAGCUUGCCGACUUGGAGCGGAGUCACCAGCUCGGUGUUCGCUGAAAUAGCCUCUGAAACUUCGGAUGAAAGGACACUCGGAUUGAAAAGACAAGACAAACAAAAGCCUCAGUGAGAUAAGAAUUGCGGCUGAUGGAGUUCUGGCUAACUGAAGCAUCCUGCGGAAGGCUGCUUUUAUCCCUGUCACUCAGCAUUGGUUUAGUGUGUAUCUGCCAUCCCCACUGACAACCAGCGAGUCCUGUGUGUGGUCACGUUACCUUCUGGGGUGUGUCCGUGCCAGGGGAUAAAGGGGCCCAGCAGAUGGGUCUGUCCUUCCCUGAUCUCCUGUAGGGUCAGCAGCCCUUGGAGAGGAAGAGGACCUCAUGGGGCCGAGCCAGCCCUGCUCUGCCUUUGCAGUUUUCUGCGCAGUGAUCCCAGAAUUGAACCAUAAAGAAGGCUGAGUGUUGAAGAAUUGAUGCUUUGGAAUUGUGAUACUG